GACGAACGCUGGCGGCGUGCUUAACACAUGCAAGUCGAGCGAUGAGAUCACUUCGGUGAAGGAUUAGCGGCGAACGGGUGAGGAACACGUGAAGAAUCUGCCUUCAACUCUGGGAUAACUCCGGGAAACCGGGGCUAAUACCGGAUAUGAGCCUUGAUCGCAUGAUCGGGGCUGGAAAGUUUUUCGGUUGAAGAUGACUUCGCGGCCUAUCAGCUUGUUGGUGAGGUAAUGGCUCACCAAGGCGACGACGGGUAGCCGGCCUGAGAGGGCGACCGGCCACACUGGGACUGAGACACGGCCCAGACUCCUACGGGAGGCAGCAGUGGGGAAUAUUGGGCAAUGGAGGAAACUCUGACCCAGCGACGCCGCGUGCGGGAUGAAGGCCUUCGGGUUGUAAACCGCUUUCAGCAGGGAAUAAGCGCAAGUGAAGGUACCUGCAGAAGAAGCACCGGCUAACUAUGUGCCAGCAGCCGCGGUAAUACAUAGGGUGCAAGCGUUGUCCGGAAUUAUUGGGCGUAAAGAGCUCGUAGGUGGUUUGUUACGUCGGUUGUGAAAUUCAGGGGCUCAACCCCUGACUUGCAGCCGAUACGGGCAAGCUAGAGUUUGGUAGGGGAGACUGGAAUUCCUGGUGUAGCGGUGGAAUGCGCAGAUAUCAGGAGGAACACCGAUGGCGAAGGCAGGUCUCUGGGCCAAUACUGACACUGAGGAGCGAAAGCGUGGGGAGCGAACAGGAUUAGAUACCCUGGUAGUCCACGCCGUAAACGGUGGGCGCUAGUUGUGCGAACCUUCCACGGUUUGUGCGACGCAGCUAACGCAUUAAGCGCCCCGCCUGGGGAGUACGAUCGCAAGAUUAAAACUCAAAGGAAUUGACAGGGCCCCGCA
rnacentral:rRNA from 1 species